GUGCUUGCUUUGCAGCACAUAUACUAAAACUGGAAUGUUACAGAGAAGAUUAGUAUGGCCC
ensembl:snRNA U6 U6 spliceosomal RNA